ACUUAAAUUGAAGAGUUUGAUCAUGGCUCAGAUUGAACGCUGGCGGCAGGCCUAACACAUGCAAGUCGAGCGGUAGCACAGAGAGCUUGCUCUCGGGUGACGAGCGGCGGACGGGUGAGUAAUGUCUGGGAAACUGCCUGAUGGAGGGGGAUAACUACUGGAAACGGUAGCUAAUACCGCAUAACGUCGCCAGACCAAAGUGGGGGACUUUCGGGCUUCAUGUCAUCAGAUGUGCCCAGAUGGGAUUAGCUAGUAGGUGGGGUACCGG
rnacentral:rRNA from 1 species